AUUGAACGCUGGCGGCAGGCCUAACACAUGCAAGUCGAGCGGUUGACGGGAGCUUGCUCCCUGAUUCAGCGGCAGACGGGUGAGUAAUGCCUAGGAAUCUGCCUAUUAGUGGGGGACAACGUUUCGAAAGGAACGCUAAUACCGCAUACGUCCUACGGGAGAAGGCAGGGGACCUUCGGGCCUUGCGCUAAUAGAUGAGCCUAGGUCGGAUUAGCUUGUUGGUGAGGUAAUGGCUCACCAAGGCGACGAUCCGUAACUGGUCUGAGAGGAUGAUCAGUCACACUGGAACUGAGACACGGUCCAGACUCCUACGGGAGGCAGCAGUGGGGAAUAUUGGACAAUGGGCGAAAGCCUGAUUCAGCCAUGCCGCGUGUGUGAAGAAGGUCUUCGGAUUGUAAAGCACUUUAAGUUGGGAGGAAGGGUUGUAGAUUAAUACUCUGCAAUUUUGACGUUACCGACAGAAUAAGCACCGGCUAACUCUGUGCCAGCCGCCGCGGUAAAAC
rnacentral:rRNA from 1 species